AUGAACGCUAGCUACAGGCUUAACACAUGCAAGUCGAGGGGCAUCAGGAAGAAAGCUUGCUUUCUUUGCUGGCGACCGGCGCACGGGUGAGUAACACGUAUCCAACCUGCCCUUUACUCGGGGAUAGCCUUUCGAAAGAAAGAUUAAUACCCGAUGGCAUAAUGAUUCCGCAUGGUUUCAUUAUUAAAGGAUUCCGGUAAAGGAUGGGGAUGCGUUCCAUUAGGUUGUUGGUGAGGUAACGGCUCACCAAGCCUUCGAUGGAUAGGGGUUCUGAGAGGAAGGUCCCCCACAUUGGAACUGAGACACGGUCCAAACUCCUACGGGAGGCAGCAGUGAGGAAUAUUGGUCAAUGGGCGCUAGCCUGAACCAGCCAAGUAGCGUGAAGGAUGAAGGCUCUAUGGGUCGUAAACUUCUUUUAUAUAAGAAUAAAGUGCAGUAUGUAUACUGUUUUGUAUGUAUUAUAUGAAUAAGGAUCGGCUAACUCCGUGCCAGCAGCCGCGGUAAUACGGAGGAUCCGAGCGUUAUCCGGAUUUAUUGGGUUUAAAGGGAGCGUAGGUGGACUGGUAAGUCAGUUGUGAAAGUUUGCGGCUCAACCGUAAAAUUGCAGUUGAUACUGUCAGUCUUGAGUACAGUAGAGGUGGGCGGAAUUCGUGGUGUAGCGGUGAAAUGCUUAGAUAUCACGGAGAACUCCGAUUGCGAAGGCAGCUCACUGGACUGCAACUGACACUGAUGCUCGAAAGUGUGGGUAUCAAACAGGAUUAGAUACCCUGGUAGUCCACACAGUAAACGAUGAAUACUCGCUGUUUGCGAUAUACAGUAAGCGGCCAAGCGAAAGCAUUAAGUAUUCCACCUGGGGAGUACGCCGGCAACGGUGAAACUCAAAGGAAUUGACGGGGGCCCGCACAAGCGGAGGAACAUGUGGUUUAAUUCGAUGAUACGCGAGGAACCUUACCCGGGCUUAAAUUGCAGUGGAAUGAUGUGGAAACAUGUCAGUGAGCAAUCACCGCUGUGAAGGUGCUGCAUGGUUGUCGUCAGCUCGUGCCGUGAGGUGUCGGCUUAAGUGCCAUAACGAGCGCAACCCUUAUCUUUAGUUACUAACAGGUCAUGCUGAGGACUCUAGAGAGACUGCCGUCGUAAGAUGUGAGGAAGGUGGGGAUGACGUCAAAUCAGCACGGCCCUUACGUCCGGGGCUACACACGUGUUACAAUGGGGGGUACAGAAGGCAGCUAGCGGGUGACCGUAUGCUAAUCCCAAAAUCCUCUCUCAGUUCGGAUCGAAGUCUGCAACCCGACUUCGUGAAGCUGGAUUCGCUAGUAAUCGCGCAUCAGCCACGGCGCGGUGAAUACGUUCCCGGGCCUUGUACACACCGCCCGUCAAGCCAUGGGAGCCGGGGGUACCUGAAGUACGUAACCGCAAGGAUCGUCCUAGGGUAAAACUGGUGACUGGGGCU
rnacentral:rRNA from 1 species